CGUAGCCGAACUGAGAGGUUGAUCGGCCACAUUGGGACUGAGACACGGCCCAAACUCCUACGGGAGGCAGCAGUAGGGAAUCUUCCACAAUGGACGCAAGUCUGAUGGAGCAACGCCGCGUGAGUGAAGAAGGCUUUCGGGUCGUAAAACUCUGUUGUUGGAGAAGAAUGGUCGGCAGAGUAACUGUUGUCGGCGUGACGGUAUCCAACCAGAAAGCCACGGCUAACUACGUGCCAGCAGCCGCGGUAAUACGUAGGUGGCAAGCGUUAUCCGGAUUUAUUGGGCGUAAAGCGAGCGCAGGCGGUUUUUUAAGUCUGAUGUGAAAGCCCUCGGCUUAACCGAGGAAGUGCAUCGGAAACUGGGAAACUUGAGUGCAGAAGAGGACAGUGGAACUCCAUGUGUAGCGGUGAAAUGCGUAGAUAUAUGGAAGAACACCAGUGGCGAAGGCGGCUGUCUGGUCUGUAACUGACGCUGAGGCUCGAAAGCAUGGGUAGCGAACAGGAUUAGAUACCCUGGUAGUCCAUGCCGUAAACGAUGAAUGCUAGGUGUUGGAGGGUUUCCGCCCUUCAGUGCCGCAGCUAACGCAUUAAGCAUUCCGCCUGGGGAGUACGACCGCAAGGUUGAAACUCAAAGGAAUUGACGGGGGCCCGCACAAGCGGUGGAGCAUGUGGUUUAAUUCGAAGCAACGCGAAGAACCUUACCAGGUCUUGACAUCUUUUGAUCACCUGAGAGAUCAGGUUUCCCCUUCGGGGGCAAAAUGACAGGUGGUGCAUGGU
rnacentral:rRNA from 1 species